ACAGCCAAGGGAACGGGCU
rnacentral:ncRNA from 3 species